UAAAAAGAUAAAAAAAUGUCAGUUUUUUCCUACUUUGUUAUAAAAUAUUAAAUGUUUCGGCCUUUGCUGCGUAUAUUAUUCCAAGACUACAAAAUUACAAAAACCAAUAAGAUUAUGUCUUUUCUACCAGCUACCAUUUACUCUGCUUCAAAGGAGAAAAAUGCCAAAAAGGCAGAAAAACUAAUAAGAACUAAGAACCAUUGUAUGUCAACUGUCAAGUAAGCAAAUGCCUUAGGUAUUGAACCAUAGUUCUAAUAAUUUGUUAAGACACAACAUUAAAAACCGUCGAUUGUGUACUAAAUAUUCAUUAGUUUACUCUGUCAAAAUGGUUUCCUCUUUGCAACAGUUGUGUGUGCCAUAUUUCCAUCUGUAAUAUAAAAAUAUAAUUAUUUAAUUCAAGGUUUCAAUAAACUGUAAAUGUAUUGUUUUCAAAUGAACAACUAAGGAAAUCUCUAUAUAUAGGUUUCUAUCAUUUUUUAACCUCAUCAUUGAGAUGUUGUAACUGGUCUUAGUAAUAUUGUGAGCACAAAAAAAAAUUAAAAUUUGGGAGGUCUUCACUGUAUAGAAAGCCAAUGGUAGGUACAGCUAUAAUGGUCUUUCCAUUGCUUUUCUUUGUAUCGAUCUAUGUUUUAUUGUUAGAGGAAUAUUAUUUUUGCUGCAACGCCAAACUGUGUUACUUUUUACUUGGUUUGGCGCUAGGAAUUUAGCUAAAAAUAUACAAAUUACUUAACAUUGAGCUUUUUUACAGACAAGAAUAUGCGGAGCAAUAACAUAUCCAGUUUAGCACUCACGCGAAUUUUUUUUGAUAAACCUUUGUAUAUCAAUGAGUUUUGAACGAUGGUGCAAAAAUGAAUUGACAGAAAUCAUUAGUUAUGAUUUCUGUCAAUACGUUAAAGGGACUGUAAAAACGUUUCGCACUCUCUUGAGAUUGAUUGAAGCAGAUAUAUCUCCGCCUUCUCACAGGUAUAGUUUUUUGUAACGGAGCAAUAUUAGCACCAGAUAAGUUAUACAUGAUGCUAAAGUAUAGGUUGCAACAAGAUCAUUUUUGUAAACUGUGGCGGACUGCAAUGGAGUUAGGUACUGGAGCCUGUGAAUCCUCAGCUUGUCGACACAUUCGGCAGGUUUGUAGAGCCAUAGCAAGGUAUUGGUCAAAAUUCAUUUAUUUUCCAAAAAAUGCAGUUGACAUGAGGAAAGUAGUCAGUGGAUUUUACAACCGUUGUAGAUUUCCUAGAGUGAUUAGAGCUGUAGAUUGCACUCACAUAAAAAUUCACCAUCACUCGGUAAGCAAAAAAAACCUUAUAAAAUUAUGAACUACUAACUAGGUUGUCAUAAA